GAUGAAGAACGUAGCGAAAUGCGAUAAGUAAUGUGAAUUGCAUAAUUCAGUGAAUCAUCGAAUCUUUGAACGCACAUUGCGCCCGCCAGUAUUCUGGCGGGCAUGCCUGUUCGAGCGUCAUUUCAACCAUCAAGCCCCCGGCUUGUGUUGGGGACCUGCGGCUGCCGCAGGCCCUGAAAAGCAGUGGCGGGCUCGCUGUCACACCGAGCGUAGUAGCAUACAUCUCGCUCUGGGCGUGCUGCGGGUUCCGGCCGUUAAACCACCUUCAUAACCCAAGGUUGACCUCGGAUCAGGUAGGAAGACCCGCUGAACUUAAGCAUAUCAAUAAGCGGAGGA
rnacentral:misc_RNA from 1 species